rnacentral:rRNA from 1 species
GGAGUUAGCCGGUGCUUCUUCUGUGAGUGAUGUCCUUCCUGCCGGUUAUUGACCCGCAGGCCUUCUUCCUCACUGAAAGUGCUUUACAACCCGAAGGCCUUCUUCACACACGCGGCAUGGCUGGAUCAGGGUUGCCCCCAUUGUCCAAUAUUCCCCACUGCUGCCUCCCGUAGGAGUCUGGGCCGUGUCUCAGUCCCAGUGUGGCUGAUCAUCCUCUCAGACCAGCUACGGAUCGUCGCCUUGGUGAGCCGUUACCUCACCAACCAGCUAAUCCGACAUAGGCUCAUCCGAUAGCGCGAGGCCCGAAGGUCCCCCGCUUUCCCCCGUAGGGCGUAUGCGGUAUUAGCCUGGGUUUCCCCAGGUUAUCCCCCACUACCGGGCAGAUUCCUAUGCAUUACUCACCCGUCCGCCGCUCGCCACCAGGGAGAAAGCUCCCCGUGCUGCCGCUCGACUUGCAUGUGUUAGGCCUGCCGCCAGCGUUCAAUCUGAGCCAAAUCAAACUCUGA